AUGCAUGUCACGAAUGUCUGCUGGUAAGGUUUCCACUACAGAUGCAAGAGAAAAAGGUCCUUGCAUUUUCUGUCAGGUUGUGGCAACUAAGAUUGAAUGGGGGAGUACAGAA
rnacentral:snoRNA from 1 species